rnacentral:rRNA from 1 species
UAUAAGUAUAAACGAUUUAAUCGUGAAACCGCGAACGGCUCAUUAUAACAGCUAUAAUUUACUUGAUCUUGACUUCCUACUUGGAUAACUGUGGUAAUUCUAGAGCUAAUACAUGCACCAAAGCUCCGACCUUACGGGAAGAGCGCAUCUAUUCGAACAAAACCAAGCGGCUUCGGCCGUCCGCAGUUGACUCAGAAUAACUAAGCUGAUCGCAUGCUCUUGUACCGGCGACGUGUCUUUCAAGUAUCUGCCUUAUCAACUUUCGAUGGUAGUGUAUCUGACUACCAUGGUGGUGACGGGUAACGGAGGAUAAGGGUUCGACUCCGGAGAAGGGGCCUGAGAAAUGGCCACUACGUCUAAGGAUGGCAGCAGGCGCGCAAAUUACCCACUCUCAGAAUGAGGAGGUAGUGACGAGAAAUAACGAGACCGUUCUCUACGAGGCCGGUCAUCGGAAUGGGUACAAUUUAAA